rnacentral:lncRNA from 1 species
CAGCAGUCUCCUCUCACAUUGCUUGCUUUCUUUUGUAUCCUGUUCCUUAUUCCCACUGGAUUUAGGGGAGGAGAGAAAGCAUCAGGAUGCCAGGACAGCAACACCGGAACAGAACAGAGAGAUGCUGGAUGACGCUUCUCUUAGCCAACAGCCUGUCCCGUGAUUUCCACGCGAUUCCCUCUAGACCUGGAUCUUCAGCCUCCUGCCCUCAACCUAACCAGAAGCUGAUGACAGCCACAUCAAGAGGAGUUCUGAAAGUGGCAUCUGGAUGGAAAGGGAGCCUCUUGGGCACUCCAGCGGCUAGCGAGACCCUCCUGCCUUCUGAUUGUUCAGGUGUCUAAUGAAACUUUCAAGUCACUGUGCUAGGUGCUGUGCAGGAGACAGAGGCGCCCGAGGAAUGGGCCAGAUCUCAUGGACCUUUCAGUGACAGUUAAGAUGGGAAGUAGGAUGCAUGACUCAAUCACCCAAGGAAGAAACCCACAAGGAAGGUAAAAAUAAGUCUGUGGAAUCUGAGGUGAGGGAGAAGAUGGAUCUGCUGAAGGACUCAGGGUGGUACUUGGGCCCCGUCUUGAAGAAGUUGGAUAUGAGGGAAUAGAGGAAAAUAUGGUGGUAAGAAAGCACAUUCAGGGAAGGAAAUAUGAAGCAGAAUAUCAGGUGCUAACACCGGAAUGGCUCAGAUCAAAUUAUAACAGAUCUUGAAUGCCAGCCAAGAAGCUUGCACUCUAACUGGUAAGUAGGAAGCUCCAUGAAGGAAGAACUUAUACAAAUUUCCAAUUUGUUGAACACGUAUUGAACUCUUUUUCAAAAGUGAAUUCUCCAUCCCUGCAGGUUUAAGCACCAAUUGGAUGUGCUUUUAGCCAGCUGUCUACUUAGGGUUUAUAGAGAUUCAUCAAGGGGAUUCAUGCAUGGACUGAGUCACUGCUGUGGUUACCUCUGAUUAACGUUACACAAUCAGGAUUUUGGAACCAGAAAUUGACACCAGUAUCAUAGGAGGGAAGACUGUAUUUCUUUUUGUAUUUUGUAGGUGCUAAAUUAAUGCUUUUGCAAUUAACAAAUGACAUGAACAGAGUCGUGCUUCAGAAAAAGGAAUUCUGCAGGAAGGUUUAAACUGAUUAGUCAGAAGGGAGAUACUGGGUAUAGCAAGACUGGUUAGGACACUAUUAAUCAUUUUCAAGGCCUAAACUAUGUUAAGUCUGAAUGGGAAAGAAAAGUAGAUAGACCUUAUGGAUGUAGAAUCAAGAUUACCAUUUUGUUGUAAUUAUUUAUGACUCUCUUCCUCAAUGGACUGAAAAUUUCAUGGGAGCAAGAAGUGUAUCUUAUUUGACUUUCUGUCCCCUCUGC